rnacentral:lncRNA from 1 species
UAUCAUAGAUGCAAAAUCCAGAACAGCAUAUUAGCAGAUCAAAUUCUAUAACAUAAAAAGAGGAUAAUAUCAAGUGAGGCAAUGCAGGAAUUCAAAAUUGGUGAAAUUUUCAAAAUCAACUAUUGUAACUGACAUUAGGAGUUAAGGAGAAAAAUUGUAUGAUAUCUGUGCUGAUACCUCUAAGACGACCUGUCUGUGGCUGACAUUUAUUACAGUGAAUGGACAUAAAGCAAAAUUAGCCACAGGACAACGUGCAUAGAGUGAGGCUUGGAGGAGAGUAGGCAUAAGCUUUUAAAAUGCCUCUCUCUGUGCUUAAUAUCCCCAGGAAUGGGUUGUGGCAACAUGUGAUAAAUACUGUCUACCGGAACAUAAAAACCCAGAGCCCAGGGUUGUCACUGGGGGUUAGGCAACUUCACAUGACACACACAUUUCCAAGCUCCCAGAAGGAAAGUAGGUGUUCAGCAUCAACCACAUUGUUUGUACAGACGAUUUGGUUGUGGUAUGUGCUAAACCCUUGCACUUCUUGGAAUGGUGGGGACCAGAAGCCAGCAAAAAGCCAACCUUGCAAACAGGCCCUCCAAAGUAUAGCAUUCUUAGCUCUGUUAGGUUCAGACUUUUCUGCACAAUAUCUCAACAGAUGUGCCCUGUAUGCAAUCCUGUGACCCCCCAAAGAAAAGAACUUUUGACAAAAUUUAAUACUCAUUCAUAAACUCUCAACAAACUGGUAUAAAAGGAAACCACCUCAACCUAAGGAAGGACAUCUACAAAGCACUUACAGCUAACAUGUCCUUCAUGGUGAACCACUGACUGAUUGUAGCCUGAGAAUGGGAUUAAGACAAGGAUGUUCACUCUCACCUUUCCUACUCAGUGUUGUACUGGAGAUCUUAGCCCAUGCAAUAAAAUAAGAAAAAUAAAUAAGUGGUAUAUGUAUUAGAAAAAUGUAAAAGAAUGAUUUUUAUUCUUGGGCAACAUGAUCUUAAACAUAGAAAGUCCUAAGGAAUAUACAAAACAAUGUUAUUAGACGUAAAGAGUUAGUAGGUUUGCAGGAUUCAAGGUCAACUAGCAAUAAACAACUGAAAAUACAAUAAAA